UACAGAGGUCCCGAGCGUUGUUCGGAUUCACUGGGCGUAAAGGGUGCGUAGGUGGCUUGAAAGUUUGAUGUGAAAGCUCAGGGCUUAACCCUGAAAUGGCAUUGAAUACUGUCGAGCUGGAGGUUUGAGGGGGACUGGAAUUCUUGGUGUAGCAGUGAAAUGCGUAGAUAUCAAGAGGAACACCAGUGGCGAAGGCGAGUCCCUGGACAACACCUGACACUGAGGCACGAAAGCUAGGGGAGCAAACAGG
rnacentral:rRNA from 1 species